AACCUCACCCCUCCCUAAGACU
rnacentral:tRNA from 1 species